rnacentral:lncRNA from 1 species
GUACAAUCUGGGAAGGAUGUAGAUAGUGUCAAACUGAAAGAAGAACUCUGACAUCACACUUCCUAGAACCCCUCCUUUUGCAACUUCUCUCUUUGAAUCCCUUUGGAACUGUCACUCGUCAGCCCAAAAGAGUCAAGGAUCAAGGAAAAUGCUGAACACAAGAUGCCUUUUCAGUCAUCUCUGUGCCGACUCACCCUGUCUGCAUGAGAAUUUUCGCCUUUUGUCCCUUUUGUCUGGGAAAGAACCAACUUAAACUCUUAUCUGUGCUGGCUCAAAUCCCCAAUUUACAUCAAGCAGAGGCUGAAGAAUAAUAAUGGGACACAGCCAACGAAUAAUGCAAAUUUUGCUAUGACUUUAACCCACACGUGACUGGGUUGUCCCACGAUGUGGCAUUUGAGAUGCAUUUUGAUGUCCAUAUUUCUUGCUGUAGAUUUCUAGACACGGUGCAGCAGUCUGGUGUGACGGCUGAUUCUAAAUACCUCAGUUUCAGGAUGUUUGUCCAUCAAUUCUCCUGCACAUAAUGUGUACUUAAGACACAGCCAGAGCCUUGCAAUUUGCCCAAGUCAGGCUGGCUGCUGAUCUCACGUAGGAAAAGAAUCACCCACGGAGAGCACGGUUCUUACCCUUCUCUGAGCAGCCAUUUGGUUAGCUUUCCUUUGCUGACUCACUGGGGCUUGAGGACUUCUUCCUAGGAAGGGAGUCCUUCUCAGCUUUGAGUAAACAGCAUUCUCUUCUUUUCUUCUUUAUUUCAGGUCCUGUUUCCUCCUUUUACUUAAAAAAGUCACCUUCCUGUGAAAUAACCUGCUAUUUUGCCAAACCGGUCUGUCAGUAUAAGGAAGCCUGGGAAUGCCUUAGCGGACCUGUAGACUCGCUGGCGGAAGAGAGUCUGCUGUUCUGAAAACUGUUCCCCUCCCGUCUGGCCUGUCCUCCUAUGCCUGAGAGAUACCACUGACUCUUGCUAAUCAGCUCCCAGCCUUGCUGACCUUGAAGCAAUGGAGAAAACAACACCGUGUGUGCAUUUUGCUUAAUAAAGAAAACAUUAUUAACCA